rnacentral:rRNA from 1 species
GACGAACGCUGGCGGCGCGCCUAACACAUGCAAGUCGAACGAGAGAGAGGGAGCUUGCUUCCUUGAUCGAGUGGCGAACGGGUGAGUAACGCGUGAGGAACCUGCCUCAAAGAGGGGGACAACAGCUGGAAACGACUGCUAAUACCGCAUAAGCCCACGACCCGGCAUCGGGAAGAGGGAAAAGGAGCAAUCCGCUUUGAGAUGGCCUCGCGUCCGAUUAGCUAGUUGGUGAGGUAACGGCCCACCAAGGCGACGAUCGGUAGCCGGACUGAGAGGUUGAACGGCCACAUUGGGACUGAGACACGGCCCAGACUCCUACGGGAGGCAGCAGUGGGGAAUAUUGCACAAUGGGGGAAACCCUGAUGCAGCGACGCCGCGUGGAGGAAGAAGGUCUUCGGAUUGUAAACUCCUGUUGUUGAGGAAGAUAAUGACGGUACUCAACAAG